rnacentral:rRNA from 1 species
UACGGGAGGCAGCAGUGAGGGAUAUUGCACAAUGGGCGCAACCCUGAUGCAGCGACGCCGCGUGAGUGAAGAAGUAUUUCGGUAUGUAAAGCUCUAUCAGCAGGGAAGAAAAUGACGGUACCUGACUAAGAAGCUCCGGCUAAAUACGUGCCAGCAGCCGCGGUAAU